UACGAAGGGGGCUAGCGUUGCUCGGAAUCACUGGGCGUAAAGCGCACGUAGGCGGAUUGUUAAGUCAGGGGUGAAAUCCUGGAGCUCAACUCCAGAACUGCCUUUGAUACUGACGGUCUUGAGUUCGGGAGAGAUGAGUGGAACUGCGAGUGUAGAGGUGGAAAUUCGUAGAUAUUCGCAAGAACACCAGUGGCGAAGGCGGCUCACUGGCCCGAUACUGGACGCUGAGGUGCGAAAGCGUGGGGAGCAA
rnacentral:rRNA from 1 species